UCAGGCCACUUAUAACCCGAACUUUAGGCUGAACUGUGUUUGUUUUGGCACUCAUUGCACAGUGGCCUUCGGUGAAGGUUGGAUCUUUUAUCGUCACCAUAUGCCCGAAGCCAUGCUGCAGAGUUCUUGGCUACUGGUUCUUUUACAGACUUUUGAAACAAGGUUUCACUUUGUGGGCCAGUGUGGACUCCAAGUCAUGAUUGUCUUGCCUCAGUUUCCCAGUGCCAGGAUUAUAGACAUGCCCCAGCACAGUGGCUCUACUUCUGCAAUUGUAAUACACUUCAGUCCUUGUCACCUGGCUUGGCACAUGAGCAGCUUGUGAAUGCGGUUACUGAAAUCCUGUUUGACAGUCCCUGUAAGAGCCAGACUGGCCUGGAACUCAGGACUUCUCCUUCAGUUUCCCCCUUGCUGGCAUUUCCAAAGUCAGCCACCACACCCAGCUCUCAUCCUUCAAAGGAGCUCAGAAACACUUGAGAAAAGCUGACAUGUGAAUACCAUGCUCCCUCUCGUGGAGAAAGGAGGAGCCGGCGGCAUUCGAUUCCUCCUCUGAGGAUAGAAUUAUAACUUCAGAGCAUUGACUGUUUCGUGGAUUAGAUUCCCUUAAAAAUUUACUUUUAAUUUUUGAGGUCCUAUCAGCUUGUGAAUUUUCUGUGACUUGAUUUUACUUGCAUUAUUGUCCUUUUUCUAAGAUGGUUCUUUGUCAUUAAAGUACUUACUUCUGUCUCUAAUGAAGUUGUGUCUUUCUAAUGAAGUUCAGAGAUGCAGGUGAAGAAAAACAAUUUCAAAUUCUGUUCUCGGGAGCCUGAAACAUCAGAGGACCUCAUCCUGGCUUGAUACUGGCCACACUGUGACGUCAUUGGUUACUGUUGAAGCAAGCCACCAACACUAGGUGGAAAACAGCCAGGAAUGUGAGGAAGAUGACCAUGCAGGGCAGAGAAAGACAAAAAGUCCAUCAGGAGUUUCCCCACAGUCACUGGGUCAAGGAGACUGCCCAGUGCUCUGAGCUGGGGGCCUGCUUGGAGCAUCACCAUGGCCUUUUCUACAACUGUGUCCCUCCAAGUGUAAUGAGAAGGGGAAGCAAGCUUGUCAUCCCCACAGCACCAGCAGCCAAAGCCCACACUGUCAUCUCUCCACCCCCUGUCCCCCCAAAUGACCUUAGAGAAUAAAGUAAAUCAAUGCCGAGCUAAA